GAUGAACGCUUGCGUCUUGCCUAAUACAUGCAAGUCGAGCGAACGGACGAGAAGCUUGCUUCUCUGAUAUUAGCGGCCGACGGGUGAGUAACACGUUGAUAACCUACCUAUCAGACUGGGAUAACUUCGGGAAACCGGAGCUAAUACCUGUUAAUAUUUUGAACCUCAUGGUUCAAAAGUGAAAGACGGUCUUGCUGUCACUUAUAGAUGGAUCCGCGCUGCAUUAGCUAGUUGGUAAGGUAACGGCUUACCAAGGCAACGAUGCAUAGCUGACCUGAGAGAGUGAUCGGCAACACAGGAAAAGAGACACGGUCCAGACUACUAAGAGAGGAAGCAGUAGGGAAUCUCGGGAAAGGGGCGAAAGCCGGACGAAGCAAAGAGGCGUGAGUGAUGAAGGAAUACGGAUCGUAAAAAUCAAUUAUAAGAGAAGAACAUAUGUGUAAGUAACGGUGAACGUCUUGAAGGUACCUAACCAGAAAGACACAACUAACUAAGUG
rnacentral:rRNA from 1 species